rnacentral:lncRNA from 1 species
UUUUAUUAUAAUUUUUCUAAGGUUUGAUUAGAAUUUAUUUAGGAUUUUAUAGGAUUUUUUUAGAAUUUAGGAUUACGAUUUAAGAUUUGAUUAGGAUUUUAUUAGGAUUUGACAUAGGAUUAGGAUUUAGAAUUUGCUAAAAAUUUUCUUAGAAUUUUAUUAGAAUUUGUCUAGAAUUUGAUUAAAAUUUGUCUCAAGUUUGAUUAGGAUUUGUUUCAAGUUUAAUUAUGAUUUUUUUUGAAAUUUGAUUAGAAUGUGUUUAAGUUUUGGUUGAGAUUGGUUUAAGCUUUCAUUAGGAUUUUUUGGAAUUUAUAUUAGAAUUUAUUGGAGGUUGUAUUAGAUUUUGAUUAGGAUUUUUAUUUUUGAUAUUUUUUUAAGAUUUCUUUAUUAUGUAUAUUUUAUUAAGAUUAAUUUAUGAUUUCUUUAUGUUUCUUUUAUAAGUUCUUAAGACUUCUUUUGGAUUUAAUUAAAGAUUGAUUGAUAUUUUUAUAAUUUAAUUGAAGUUUGUUUAGAAUUCUAUUAGGGUUUUUAGAAUCAUCUUGUUGCAAGUUCAAUUUUUUCUUCUAUAGCC